ensembl:lncRNA
CAGGGCUGAUGAGAAGAGCUUCCCUGCCAAUUGAUCCUGUGUCCUCUCUGUCUGGUGAACACAGGGCUUGUGGGUUUUGCUCCUAAAUGACAGCUACCCCGCUGGGAUUCCAUUACACUGAUGGAAGGCAACCAACAAACGCCUAUGGUUCACCUCCCAAGGGCUACAGUGUGUGUGUCUGUGUGUUUGUUUGUUUGUGUGUGUGUGUGUGUGUGUGUGUGUGUUGUGGAGGUAUAUCACCCAAGGCACUACAACAUGUAGGGUAUGAAGCUGAUAUGGUGUUGAAGUAUGUCCCAGUCACCUGUGGCAACUGACAUGUUAGUCCAUUAUGAGCAUAAUCUAAUGCACACACACACACACACACACACACACACAUCCACACAAACAUACACACAGACACACUCAAACGUGCACACAUGCACACACGCACACAUACGUACACACACACGGGUCCAUUGGAUCCCUAGCCCAACUCUUGUGCCUGACCAUUAUACUGUGCCUUCGUAAACAACUACCUUGUUGAUGAUAUUAAACCAGGGCUCUCGGAUAACCUCUCUCUCUCUCUCUCUCUCUCUCUAUCUCCCUCCCUCCCUCCCUCCCUCCCUCCCUCCCUCCCUUUCUCUCUCUCUCUCUCUCUCGCUCUCUUUCUCUCUGCUUCGUACUAUCGUUACAUAACACGCUCAUGAAGAGCAUUUGGAUGCAGCAGGCCCUACACAGAAUCACCACGAGUGAUAAACUCCAACAAGUCAAGCAUUAAAACCAACAGCCGCUUUUAUCUCUCAAGAACAGCAUCCCCAUCCAGCUGGAGCGGCAUCAGAGAGACGGUCCAGGGAGGAUUACAGGGGGCAUAAAUUAGAGGAAGGAUUGUGAUGAAGAGAAUGAAAUUCACUUGAUUUGUGUGGGAGACACUAAAUCGAUUUGUUCCCAGAGAGCACGUGCUUUCGCACCUCACCAAAAUAAAAUUGGUAACCUAAGCAAAUAAGAUGAAGCAAAUUUAAUUUCAAUGCAAUUCAUUUAAUGAACAAGGAUCCCUUUUUCCCAAAACCUUGCUCCUAAAAUGCAAAUUAAGUCUUAUGCAUGCUAUACUUUGGGGGGGAUGUGAUCAUAUCCCUUGGAUAAGUUCCGACUGCUUCAAUAAUGCAUCUCAAUAUUCCCUCCACAAAGUGGUCAGUCUGUGGAGCUUUUAAAUUCAGUGGUUCUUUGUCAAUUUUUAUCUAGGCUGUGCUGACAAAGAGCUCUGCUGUCAUUUUAUCUGGGCACCAUGGAGCUUUAAUGUCAAAGGUUCACGUCUUUAGCCGACCUGCUUAAAAUAGAUGUUCACACAAAGGUGUGUGUGUGUGUGUGUGUGUGUGUGUGUGUGUGUGUGUGUGUGUGUGUGUGUGUGUGUGUGUGUGUGUGAGAGAGAGAGAGAGAGAGAGAGACUGACCGGCAGACAGAGACAAGGUUUAGAGAGAGAGAGAGAGAGAGAGAGAGAGAGAGAGAGAGAAAGAAAGUAUGUCCUUGAGACUCAAUUUAAAGACAGGACAGGUCCACCUCUCAAAGUGAUGAGAAAGCAGCUCUGUGUUAUUGGACAUGCCUGAUUGACUUCCAUAAAGUGACGAUUUGCUGCCACUACAUUUUCUGCCCGACCUUCAAAUCUCACUAGAUAACCCUCAUUUAGAUGCUCUGUGUCUUUCUAUCCAUACUGGCCUAUCUACACCCUGGACACCUUGUCUUUGAUCCGCAAAUCUGAGGACAUUACAACAACAUCAAUUCAAAUGUGAAAAUGAAGCAUUCAUUUUAAGGUGAUGCUCAAAGUAGAUCCAUCAUUCUAUGUCUUCUCACUCAUUCAGGUUCGAGUUUACUUUCUCUACAUUCGAUGCAUUCAGGUGGUCAUUUAAGUACAUUUGGUCUAAUUGACAUCCAACCUGUUUAUUCAAUUGUUAUCAUUUGCAGUUGUACUUUGGUUUGCAUUUGUACAUUUGUGUUUUGCCUUACACUGAGUUUGACGGAUACUUGUAACAUUGAAGCUCACUGUUUAUUGUAUUAAUAAACUGUUCAUUCAUUAACCACCUCAUGUGCCAUGGCGUUACAUUGUGCCACUAGCUUUUAUACUGCUUGGUAACAUUGGAGGUCAUUCAAUUAUUGUAUUUUUCCACAACAUUUACCACUCUAGUGCAUUCUAUUGUCCCAAAAUGUUAAGACACGCUUGAACCUUCCAGCCUGACGUUUUCCGUCUUUGGUAACAUUUUGGCUGCUGCUUAUUUAUACUAUAUUGGUGCAAUUCCUAACAUUCCCACUGAAUAACAUUUUCCCUUAAUGCAACUGUGAUUUACAGUAAUUCCCUGUAUAAUAAUACUAUGGUACAUAAAACUGAUUUGAACAAAUGAUACACCGCGACAGGAAAUGUUUUUUACUUACUGUAACAGGAGUGUGAUAAAAAGUUACCUGAUGUGCUCCAAUGCCAGUCACAAAUACAUCAGAGAGAAUGGAUAUAGCCACAACACGAGAUGUACCAUGAUGUACCGAAGUAUUUAAUUGAAGAAUUAAAGUUUGAUGGGUGUGGUUAUUUUAAAAGUUUAACAGCAAAUGUGAAACCUCCAAAAACAUGAGCUGUCCAGCUGGUUGGUUUGGAUGGCCGACUGAUGACAGACAGACAGCAGUUCUGUACAAUGACAGGGUCCAAGAGGUGUUUGUUGAACAGCAAAACAGUUGUAUCGUAACCCCACAAACUGGGUUUAAUAACCUACUCCAACUGCUGUGUCUCUGAGCUUUUUUUUAUUUUUACCAGGCUUCUUGGUACUUCUUGUUAUAGAAAAUACUAGAAAGGAACAACACUAUGUUAUUUGCUACUGUAUACCAGUGACUUACAGUAGUUUAUUUUACAGGAGAUGUUGACAGUGUGCUAUACUAGCCUGCCUCAGGCGUGAGGAGAAUCUUAACUCGCUAAUCAUGGAAUCUUGCACGAGUGUGCAUACCCACAUGUCAGAGCCACUUCAUGUGAAUUUAUAGACCACAGAUGGAUUGUGCGCAUGGAGCAGUACAUAGACAGCCUGGCCAACCCUAAACAGGUCCCCACUGUCAUACUUCCUCUUGAAUCUGUGGAGGACACUCAUGUGAAGGUCUUACAUAGGCAGCUGGUGGCCUCCUUGGGGAUGUUUUCAUGGAGGGAGAUUUUCCAUUCAACACUGAAUUAGUGGCUUAGUCUGUUCAGCUAUCCUUACAAGAUCAUAAUAUCCGCAGGAUGUGUCCAUUCUGUUAACCAUAUUGUGCCUCUCACCAUCACUGGGGUCCAUACAUGUGUGUGUUUAAACUGAACGCUCUCUGACUGUUUAAACUGAACACUCUCUGCCUGUUUAAACUGAACGCUCUCUGCCGCUGCUGCUGUAUUCAUUUGUAGGCUAAAUGGGUGAUCUGUGGCAGGCGUUCAGUGGUGCCAUGAGUGCGUAGUGAUGCCACAGCCAGGAUGAGUGAGUAAGGUAGUGAGUGAGUGAGUGUGUAGUGAUGCUACAGCCAGGAUGAGUGAGUGAGUGAGUGAGUGAGUGAGUGUGUAGUGAUGCUACAGCCAGGAUGAGUGAGUGAGGUAGUGAGUGAGUGAGUGAGUGAGUGAGUGAGUGAGUGAGCGUGUAGUGAUGCCGCAGCCAGGAUGAGUGAGUGAGUGAGUGAGUGAGUGAUGCCACAGCCAGGAUGAGUGAGUGAGGUAGUGAGUGAGUGAGUGAGUGAGUGAGUGAGUGAGUGUGUAGUGAUGCUACAGCCAGGAUGAGUGAGUGAGUGAGUGAGUGAGUGUGUAGUGAUGCCACAGCCAGGAUGAGUGAGUGAGGUAGUGAGUGAGUGAGUGAGUGAGUGAGUGAGCGUGUAGUGAUGCCGCAGCCAGGAUGAGUGAGUGAGUGAGUGAGUGAGUGAUGCUACAGCCAGGAUGAGUGAGUGAGGUAGUGAGUGAGUGAGUGUGUAGUGAUGCUACAGCCAGGUUGAGUGAGUGAGUGAGUGAGUGAGUGAUGCUACAGCCAGGUUGAGUGAGUGAGUGAGUGAGUGAGUGAGAGUGUGUAGUGAUGCUACAGCCAGGAUGAGUGAGUGAGUAAGUGAGUGAGGGAGUGAGUGAGUGAGUGAGUGAGUGCGUAGUGAUGCCACAGCCAGGAUGAGUGAGUGAAGGAGCUGCCAAGUCAAUGAGGUGCUUGCUUUGCAUCUGAAAUGAACAAACAAGCAAAAAGCUAAAAGAAAUUUAGCAUUCUGCACGCUCUGUUGGUCCAAGAGUUCAGCACAUAAAAAAAUGUAUAUAUGCAUGCAUGUGUGUGUGUGUGUGUGUGUGUGUGUGUGUGUGUGUGUGUGUGUGUGUGUGUGUGUGUGCGUGCGUGCGUGCGUGCGUGCGUGCGUGCGUGCGUGUCUGUGUGUGUAUGAGAGAGAGAGAAAGUGAAAACGACAGACAGAGAGAAACAGAGUGUGUACUUGCCUUCAUUUUCUCUUAGUUUGGCUCCUCUCUUUUAAAUUGGGAGACAUACAGUGAGUCUGAAGGGACUGAAGGCAUAAAAUAUCUGGCUUAGAGACAGUGAGUGCCACUUUUAACUGACUCAUGUCAGCCAAUUUGCCAGUCUGCCUACUCAGUCUAAUGCAAUUUGUCACAUUUGCUGUUUCAUGUAAAGUUCUAUCAUGCGCAAAAAUGCUUUAGAGCAAAUAGAGGAGGAAAAGAGAGGGAGAGAGAGAGAGUCAGAGAGAGAGACAGAGAGAGAGACAGAGAGAGAGAGAGAGAGACAGAGAGGGAGAAAGAGAGAGACAUGGAGACAGAGGGAGGGAGGAAGAAAACCUGCAAGAGACAAGGUCAGAGAAAUUUGGAAGAGGGAGCCAAAAGAUAGAUGAGAUUCUAAGAGACAGAUGCCACACUGUGGGGCAAACCAAACAAUACAUGCACAGAAAUGUGUGAAUACAGCACACAGACAGACCCAAACACACACACACACACACACACACACACACACACACACACACACACUCACACACAGUGACACUUACUCACUGCGUAGACACCUAGCAAGUUCACCAGUUGAGACACUUCGGGCUCAGUGAAAAAGCAGACACACACACACACACACAGAAAAAAAUCUCAAGAAUGGCAGCUAAGGCUGUCCUGACUGCUCAGGGGGUUG